rnacentral:rRNA from 1 species
GCAAGUCGAACGAUCUCUUCGGAGAUAGUGGCAGACGGGUUAGUAACGCGUGGGAACCUACCUAGUAGUGCGGAAUAGCCUCGGGAAACUGGGAUUAAUACCGCAUACGCCCUUAGGGGGAAAGAUUUAUCGCUAUUAGAUGGGCCCGCGUUGGAUUAGUUUGUUGGUGGGGUAAUGGCCUACCAAGACUACGAUCUAUAGCUGGUCUGAGAGGAUGAUC